AGUGAACGCUGGCGGUAGGCCUAACACAUGCAAGUCGAACGGCAGCACAGUAAGAGCUUGCUCUUACGGGUGGCGAGUGGCGGACGGGUGAGGAAUACAUCGGAAUCUACUUUUUCGUGGGGGAUAACGUAGGGAAACUUACGCUAAUACCGCAUACGACCUACGGGUGAAAGCAGGGGAUCUUCGGACCUUGCGCGAUUGAAUGAGCCGAUGUCGGAUUAGCUAGUUGGCGGGGUAAAGGCCCACCAAGGCGACGAUCCGUAGCUGGUCUGAGAGGAUGAUCAGCCACACUGGAACUGAGACACGGUCCAGGCUCCUACGGGAGGCAGCAGGGGGGAAUAUGGGACAAUGGGCGCAAGCCUGAUCCAGCCAUACCGCGUGGGUGAAGAAGGCCUUCGGGUUGUAAAGCCCUUUUGUUGGGAAAGAAAAGCAGCAGGUUAAGACCCCGCUGUUCUGACGGUACCCAAAGAAUAAGCACCGGCUAACUUCGUG
rnacentral:rRNA from 1 species